AGUCGAGCGGCAGCGGAAGUAGCUUGCUACUUUGCCGGCGAGCGGCGGACGGGUGAGUAAUGUCUGGGAAACUGCCUGAUGGAGGGGGAUAACUACUGGAAACGGUAGCUAAUACCGCAUGACCUCGAAAGAGCAAGGUGGGGGAUCUUCGGACCUCACGCCAUCGGAUGUGCCCAGAUGGGAUUAGCUAGUAGGUGAGGUAAUGGCUCACCUAGGCGACGAUCCCUAGCUGGUCUGAGAGGAUGACCGGCCACACUGGAACUGAGACACGGUCCAGACUCCUACGGGAGGCAGCAGUGGGGAAUAUUGCACAAUGGGCGCAAGCCUGAUGCAGCCAUGCCGCGUGUGUGAAGAAGGCCUUAGGGUUGUAAAGCACUUUCAGCGAGGAGGAAGGCACCAUACUUAAUACGUGUGGUGAUUGACGUUACUCGCAGAAGAAGCACCGGCUAACUCCGUGCCAGCAGCCGCGGUAAUACGGAGGGUGCAAGCGUUAAUCGGAAUUACUGGGCGUAAAGCGCACGCAGGCGGUUUGUUAAGUCAGAUGUGAAAUCCCCGCGCUUAACGUGGGAACUGCAUUUGAAACUGGCAAGCUAGAGUCUUGUAGAGGGGGGGUAGAAUUCCAGGUGUAGCG
rnacentral:rRNA from 1 species